CUGGCGGCAGGCCUACACAUGCAAGUCGAACGGACCCUUCGGGGUUAGUGGCGGACGGGUGAGUAACACGUGGGAACGUGCCUUUAGGUUCGGAAUAGCUCCUGGAAACGGGUGGUAAUGCCGAAUGUGCCCUUCGGGGGAAAGAUUUAUCGCCUUUAGAGCGGCCCGCGUCUGAUUAGCUAGUUGGUGAGGUAAUGGCUCACCAAGGCGACGAUCGUAGCUGGUCUGAAAGAUGACCACCCCCCUGGGGACUGAAACCCGGCCAAACUCUACGGGAG
rnacentral:rRNA from 1 species